rnacentral:rRNA from 1 species
GUGGGGAAUAUUGGACAAUGGGCGCAAGCCUGAUCCAGCCAUACCGCGUGGGUGAAGAAGGCCUUCGGGUUGUAAAGCCCUUUUGUUGGGAAAGAAAUCCUAUCGAUUAAUACUCGGUGGGGAUGACGGUACCCAAAGAAUAAGCACCGGCUAACUUCGUGCCAGCAGCCGCGGUAAUACGAAGGGUGCAAGCGUUACUCGGAAUUACUGGGCGUAAAGCGUGCGUAGGUGGUUGUUUAAGUCUGCUGUGAAAGCCCUGGGCUCAACCUGGGAAUUGCAGUGGAUACUGGGCAACUAGAGUGUGGUAGAGGGAUGCGGAAUUUCUGGUGUAGCAGUGAAAUGCGUAGAGAUCAGAAGGAACAUCCGUGGCGAAGGCGGCAUCCUGGGCCAACACUGACACUGAGGCACGAAAGCGUGGGGAGCAAACAGGAUUAGAAACCCCAGUAGUCC